GAUGAACGCUGGCGGCGUGCCUAAUACAUGCAAGUAGAACGCUGAAGCUUGGUGCUUGCACCGAGCGGAUGAGUUGCGAACGGGUGAGUAACGCGUAGGUAACCUGCCUCUUAGCGGGGGAUAACUAUUGGAAACGAUAGCUAAUACCGCAUAACAGUCGAUAUCGCAUGAUAUUGAUUUGAAAGGUGCAAUUGCAUCACUAAGAGAUGGACCCGCGUUGUAUUAGCUAGUUGGUGAGGUAACGGCUCACCAAGGCAACGAUACAUAGCCGACCUGAGAGGGUGAUCGGCCACACUGGGACUGAGACACGGCCCAGACUCCUACGGGAGGCAGCAGUAGGGAAUCUUCGGCAAUGGGGGCAACCCUGACCGAGCAACGCCGCGUGAGUGAAGAAGGUUUUCGGAUCGUAAAGCUCUGUUGUAAGAGAAGAACGAGUGUGAGAGUGGAAAGUUCACACUGUGACGGUAACUUACCAGAAAGGGACGGCUAACUACGUGCCAGCAGCCGCGGUAAUACGUAGGUCCCGAGCGUUAUCCGGAUUUAUUGGGCGUAAAGCGAGCGCAGGCGGUUAGAUAAGUCUGAAGUUAAAGGCUGUGGCUUAACCAUAGUACGCUUUGGAAACUGUUUAACUUGAGUGCAGAAGGGGAGAGUGGAAUUCCAUGUGUAGCGGUGAAAUGCGUAGAUAUAUGGAGGAACACCGGUGGCGAAAGCGGCUCUCUGGUCUGUAACUGACGCUGAGGCUCGAAAGCGUGGGGAGCAAACAGG
rnacentral:rRNA from 1 species